rnacentral:lncRNA from 1 species
UCACAUAAUAGAAAAUGGACAAAAACUUCCCCUAACUCAUACUUUUAAAAAGGCAAGGAAGAACCCUCUAAAGGGAAUACUUGAUGAUAGAAUAAGAGCCAAAGAUUAAAAACACAAGAGUAUUUCAUAAUGAAUGAAUUAUAAACAUUUGAUUUUAAAACAAAUGUCAUACAUCCUAGCCACAAUGAAGAAGAGUGGCUUAAGAUAUAAAUUUAUUUAGAAAUUUGAAUUGACUGUUAGAUUACCGAAGAUAUCAAAAAAACCUCUUACAAAAAUAAGAAUUUUUCUUUUUCUUGGCCAAAAUGAAUCCGGCUCUCCAUCAAUUCCAGAAGUUCUGAAUGCAGAGGCAAAGUGAGAUGGAAAGUAUAAAAGUCAGAGGCCACACAUACUGGUCAUGGUGUUUCUCCUGAUAACCUGCAUCCUGAGAAUUCCCUUCUGCGAUAGAACUACCUAUGGACCUCCUAAAUCCAGAUGGGACCAUCUAGUUGCAGGAAAACAAGCUCAGGUUUCCCACUGAUUCAACAUUAUGUCCUGUCUUUCAGGUAAAAGCCAGAUUGCAGUAGGUUUUGAAGACAACAUGAAAAAGACACCUUAUCAGAAGUUAAGUCAUUACUAAGGGUCUCCUGGCAUAUCUAGCUUCAAAAGCAGACUGCUUCCUUACAAGGGCUUCUAACAGAAAUAAUACAAGCCCUCUUUGGUCAACUCCUGAUGGAUUAUUCAAGUUAUAAAUCAUGUUCUUAUUUACCCAGGAUCCAUUCAUAUCAUGUCCAAGACAAUGCUGCAACCAUGGUGAUGACUGGGAGUAAAUUUUAGGAGGAAGUUAAAGUGUAAACCCUUAUACCAGGGAUUAUUAGGGACUAGUAGGUAAUAUAAUAGAUGUUGUCUUUGUGGUUUUGCCCAGAUACAGAAAUAUUCUUUGAAAACAAUGUUUGACCAACUUCUAUUGACCAACACUAAAAGAUUAGGGCAUAAAAUCAAAUUGCAACUAACUCCAUAAAAGCAUUUUUGCCAAAAUCAUAUGACCCAGACACACUGUUUCCCGAUUAUCUAACUUUAGAUAAAGCUUGUGGAGCCCAGAGAUAUAAAGAGUCACCUUUCCCUUAGACUAACUCACUCAAAUACCAGAUGUUUCAACUGAGCAUUUGGCAAAUAUUAGAAGGCAGUCUAAACUCUGAUUUGUAUCAUCAAUUAAAUAAAUGUCCAUAGGUUUUUUGAUACUGAACAUGCAAGUAGCAAAGUCAAUAUGCUGUUGACAUGAUUUGGCUGUAUCCCCACCCAAAUCUCAUCUUGAAUUGUAACUCCCACAAUUCCCACAUGUCAUGGGAGGA